rnacentral:rRNA from 1 species
UACAGAGGGGGCAAGCGUUAUUCGGAAUUAUUGGGCGUAAAGGGCGCGUAGGCGGCUUUGCAAGUGACGGGUGAAAUCCCUCGGCUUAACCGAGGAACUGCCUGUCAAACUGCAUGGCUUGAGACCGGGAGAGGUGAGUGGAAUUCCCAGUGUAGCGGUGAAAUGCGUGGAUAUUGGGAGGAACACCAGUGGCGAAGGCGGCUCACUGGACCGGUACUGACGCUGAUGCGCGAAAGCGUAGGGAGCAAACAGG